GACGUAGGGCGCGAGCGUUGUCCGGAAUUAUUGGGCGUAAAGAGCUUGUAGGCGGUUUGUCGCGUCUGGAGUGAAAACUCAGGGCUUAACCCUGAGCCUGCUUCCGAUACGGGCAGACUAGAGGUAUGCAGGGGGAGAACGGAAUUCCUGGUGUAGCGGUGGAAUGCGCAGAUAUCAGGAGGAACACCGGUGGCGAAGGCGGUUCUCUGGGCAUUACCUGACGCUGAGGAGCGAAAGUGUGGGGAGCGAACAGG
rnacentral:rRNA from 1 species